AAUCUCGAGAAGUGUUUUCCGCGCCGGACCGCAUACAAGUCUGUUGGAAUACAGCGUCAUAGUGGUGAGAACCCCGUAACUGAUGCGGAUGCCCGGUGCUUUGUGAUACACUUUCGAAGAGUCGAGUUGUUUGGGAAUGCAGCUCAAAUUGGGUGGUAAAUUCCAUCUAAAGCUAAAUAUUGGCGAGAGACCGAUAGCGAACAAGUACCGUGAGGGAAAGAUGAAAAGCACUUUGGAAAGAGAGUUAACAGUACGUGAAAUUGUUGGAAGGGAAACGCAUGAGGUCAGACUUGCUAUUUGGAAUUCAGCCGCAAGGUGUACUUUUCAAUUCGCAGGCCAGCAUCAGUUUUCGGGGGUGGAAAAGGGUAGAGAGAAGGUAGCUGUUUCGGCAGUGUUAUAGCUCUUUGCUGGAUUCAUCCUUGGGGACUGAGGAACGCAGCGCGCUUUUUGCAAGGCUUUCGAGCUUUUCGUGCUUAGGAUGCUGGUGGAAUG
rnacentral:rRNA from 3 species